AUUCGGCUGACGAGUCCCAAAUAAGACGAAACGCGUUUCUUGUAU
rnacentral:hammerhead_ribozyme from 1 species